AGUGGGGGAUAACGUAGCGAAAGUUACGCUAAUACCGCAUAUGCCCUGAGGGGGAAAGGUGGGGAUCGCAAGACCUAUCGUUUUCGGAGUGGCCGAUAUCAGAUUAGCUAGUUGGUGGGGUAAAGGCCCACCAAGGCGACGAUCUGUAGCGGGUCUGAGAGGAUGAUCCGCCACACUGGGACUGAGACACGGCCCAGACUCCUACGGGAGGCAGCAGUGGGGAAUUUUGGACAAUGGGGGCAACCCUGAUCCAGCCAUGCCGCGUGAGUGAAGAAGGCCUUCGGGUUGUAAAGCUCUUUCAGCCGGAAAGAAAUCGCGCAGGCUAAUAUCCUGCGUGGAUGACGGUACCGGAAGAAGAAGCACCGGCUAACUACGUGCCAGCAGCCGCGGUAAUACGUAGGGUGCGAGCGUUAAUCGGAAUUACUGGGCGUAAAGCGUGCGCAGGCGGUUUUGUAAGACAGGCGUGAAAUCCCCGGGCUUAACCUGGGAACUGCGUUUGUGACUGCAAGGCUAGAGUGUGGCAGAGGGGGGUAGAAUUCCG
rnacentral:rRNA from 1 species